GCAACUCGACUGCAUGAAGCUGGAAUCGCUAGUAAUCGUGAAUCAGAAUGUCACGGUGAAUACGUUCUCGGGCCUUGUACACACCGCCCGUCACACCAUGGGAGUCGGUAACACCCGAAGUCUGUAGCCUGACGCAAGAGGGCGCAGCCGAAGGUGGGAUUGAUGACUGGGGUGAAGUCGUAACAAGGUAAC
rnacentral:rRNA from 1 species